rnacentral:lncRNA from 1 species
GGAGUUGAGAGCAGCCCAGGUGAGCGGUGUGACCUGUGACUCUGAAGACGCGGAGGACUCAGAUGACAUGUUGGACUUCCCAGGAGCAGAGAAGUUACUAUCUAAGCAAUCGCAAGGUCUGGAUGCUGAUUCGCCGGCUGAGGGCACCUCUCAAGAGAAUCCUGCCAUGGUAGAGCAGCUUCGCAGAAAAGUAGAGGAAAUUACCUCCCAGAAUGCCGACCUGGUUCUCAAAGUGCAGAUGCUGGAAAUGUUUGAGAAGGAUGACACGGAUAUGCAGAGCUCGGGCCCAGAUUUUGUUCCCACAGCUCAGUAUGAAUCUUUAA